UGCCAGCCGCCGCGGUAAUACGGAGGGUGCAAGCGUUGUUCGGAAUUAUUGGGCGUAAAGCGCGUGUAGGCGGUUCGUUAAGUCUGAUGUGAAAGCCCGGGGCUCAACCCCGGAAGUGCAUUGGAAACUGGCGAACUUGAGUACGGGAGAGGAAAGUGGAAUUCCGAGUGUAGGGGUGAAAUUCGUAGAUAUCAUCAGGAACACCGGUGGCGAAAGCGGCUUACUGGGUCUUUACUGACGCUGAGGCACGAAAGCUAGGGGAGCGAACGGGAUUAGAUA
rnacentral:rRNA from 1 species